UAGCAAGGUUAACCGAAUAGGGGAGCCGAAGGGAAACCGAGUCUUAACUGGGCGUUAAGUUGCAGGGUAUAGACCCGAAACCCGGUGAUCUAGCCAUGGGCAGGUUGAAGGUUGGGUAACACUAACUGGAGGACCGAACCGACUAAUGUUGAAAAAUUAGCGGAUGACUUGUGGCUGGGGGUGAAAGGCCAAUCAAACCGGGAGAUAGCUGGUUCUCCCCGAAAGCUAUUUAGGUAGCGCCUCGUGAAUUCAUCUCCGGGGGUAGAGCACUGUUUCGGCAAGGGGGUCAUCCCGACUUACCAACCCGAUGCAAACUGCGAAUACCGGAGAAUGUUAUCACGGGAGACACACGGCGGGUGCUAACGUCCGUCGUGAAGAGGGAAACAACCCAGACCGCCAGCUAAGGUCCCAAAGUCAUGGUUAAGUGGGAAACGAUGUGGGAAGGCCCAGACAGCCAGGAUGUUGGCUUAGAAGCAGCCAUCAUUUAAAGAAAGCGUAAUAGCUCACUGGUCGAGUCGGCCUGCGCGGAAGAUGUAACGGGGCUAAACCAUGCACCGAAGCUGCGGCAGCGACACUGUGUGUUGUUGGGUAGGGGAGCGUUCUGUAAGCCUGUGAAGGUGUGCUGUGAGGCAUGCUGGAGGUAUCAGAAGUGCGAAUGCUGACAUAAGUAACGAUAAAGCGGGUGAAAAGCCCGCUCGCCGGAAGACCAAGGGUUCCUGUCCAACGUUAAUCGGGGCAGGGUGAGUCGACCCCUAAGGCGAGGCCGAAAGGCGUAGUCGAUGGGAAACAGGUUAAUAUUCCUGUACUUGGUGUUACUGCGAAGGGGGGACGGAGAAGGCUAUGUUGGCCGGGCGACGGUUGUCCCGGUUUAAGCGUGUAGGCUGGUUUUCCAGGCAAAUCCGGAAAAUCAAGGCUGAGGCGUGAUGACGAGGCACUACGGUGCUGAAGCAACAAAUGCCCUGCUUCCAGGAAAAGCCUCUAAGCAUCAGGUAACAUCAAAUCGUACCCCAAACCGACACAGGUGGUCAGGUAGAGAAUACCAAGGCGCUUGAGAGAACUCGGGUGAAGGAACUAGGCAAAAUGGUGCCGUAACUUCGGGAGAAGGCACGCUGAUAUGUAGGUGAAGUCCCUCGCGGAUGGAGCUGAAAUCAGUCGAAGAUACCAGCUGGCUGCAACUGUUUAUUAAAAACACAGCACUGUGCAAACACGAAAGUGGACGUAUACGGUGUGACGCCUGCCCGGUGCCGGAAGGUUAAUUGAUGGGGUCAGCGCAAGCGAAGCUCUUGAUCGAAGCCCCGGUAAACGGCGGCCGUAACUAUAACGGUCCUAAGGUAGCGAAAUUCCUUGUCGGGUAAGUUCCGACCUGCACGAAUGGCGUAAUGAUGGCCAGGCUGUCUCCACCCGAGACUCAGUGAAAUUGAACUCGCUGUGAAGAUGCAGUGUACCCGCGGCAAGACGGAAAGACCCCGUGAACCUUUACUAUAGCUUGACACUGAACAUUGAGCCUUGAUGUGUAGGAUAGGUGGGAGGCUUUGAAGUGUGGACGCCAGUCUGCAUGGAGCCGACCUUGAAAUACCACCCUUUAAUGUUUGAUGUUCUAACGUGGACCCGUGAUCCGGGUUGCGGACAGUGUCUGGUGGGUAGUUUGACUGGGGCGGUCUCCUCCUAAAGAGUAACGGAGGAGCACGAAGGUUGGCUAAUCCUGGUCGGACAUCAGGAGGUUAGUGCAAUGGCAUAAGCCAGCUUGACUGCGAGCGUGACGGCGCGAGCAGGUGCGAAAGCAGGUCAUAGUGAUCCGGUGGUUCUGAAUGGAAGGGCCAUCGCUCAACGGAUAAAAGGUACUCCGGGGAUAACAGGCUGAUACCGCCCAAGAGUUCAUAUCGACGGCGGUGUUUGGCACCUCGAUGUCGGCUCAUCACAUCCUGGGGCUGAAGUAGGUCCCAAGGGUAUGGCUGUUCGCCAUUUAAAGUGGUACGCGAGCUGGGUUUAGAACGUCGUGAGACAGUUCGGUCCCUAUCUGCCGUGGGCGCUGGAGAACUGAGGGGGGCUGCUCCUAGUACGAGAGGACCGGAGUGGACGCAUCACUGGUGUUCGGGUUGUCAUGCCAAUGGCACUGCCCGGUAGCUAAAUGCGGAAGAGAUAAGUGCUGAAAGCAUCUAAGCACGAAACUUGCCCCGAGAUGAGUUCUCCCUGACCCUUUAAGGGUCCUGAAGGAACGUUGAAGACGACGACGUUGAUAGGCCGGGUGUGUAAGCGCAGCGAUGCGUUGAGCUAACCGGUACUAAUGAACCGUGAGGCUUAACCUUACAACGCCGAAGGUGUUU
rnacentral:rRNA from 1 species